UUUUUGUUAAAUUUGAAUUUUAUACUUGAUUUCCUAUCUAAAAACAAUUUGAUAUUCGGUUUUUUAUCUAUUAUAUAUACUAAAUGGAUGAAAAAAUAUAACUAAACCUAGAGAUAUAACUUUUGACCAAAAAAAAAAAAAACCUAGAGAUAUAAUUUAAAUUAAGAGGAAUAUAAAAAGAGUUUAAAAAUAAAAUUAUUUUUUGGGAAUUUUAAAGGUUUCACCCUC
rnacentral:lncRNA from 1 species